AUUGAACGCUGGCGGCAGGCCUAACACAUGCAAGUCGAGCGGAUGAAGGGAGCUUGCUCCUGGAUUCAGCGGCGGACGGGUGAGUAAUGCCUAGGAAUCUGCCUGGUAGUGGGGGAUAACGUCCGGAAACGGGCGCUAAUACCGCAUACGUCCUGAGGGAGAAAGUGGGGGAUCUUCGGACCUCACGCUAUCAGAUGAGCCUAGGUCGGAUUAGCUAGUUGGUGGGGUAAAGGCCUACCAAGGCGCCGAUCCGUAACUGGUCUGAGAGGAUGAUCAGUCACACUGGAACUGAGACACGGUCCAGACUCCUACGGGAGGCAGCAGUGGGGAAUAUUGGACAAUGGGCGAAAGCCUGAUCCAGCCAUGCCGCGUGUGUGAAGAAGGUCCUCGGAUUGUAAAGCACUUUAAGUUGGGAGGAAGGGCAGUAAGUUAAUACCUUGCUGUUUUGACGUUACCAACAGAAUAAGCACCGGCUAACUUCGUG
rnacentral:rRNA from 1 species